rnacentral:rRNA from 1 species
GACGAACCGCCCGAACGUUAUUCGGAAUCACUGGGCUUAAAGGGAGCGUAGGCGGGCUGCCAAGUCCGGGGUGAAAUCCUCCAGCUUAACUGGAGAACUGCCUCGGAUACUGGAAGUCUCGAGGAGGGUAGGGGCAAGUGGAACCGUGGGUGGAGCGGUGAAACGCGUUGAUAUCCAUGGGAACUCCGGUGGCGAAGGCGACUUGCUGGACCCUUUCUGACGCUGAGGCUCGAAAGCCAGGGGAGCAAACGGG